rnacentral:rRNA from 1 species
UACGGAGGAUCCGAGCGUUAUCCGGAUUUAUUGGGUUUAAAGGGUGCGCAGGCGGCCGUGUGUGUCAGGUGUGAAAGCCCGGAGCUUAACUCCGGAAUUGCGCCUGAAACUACAUGGCUAGAGCAUUGGAGAGGGAAGUGGAAUUCACGGUGUAGCAGUGAAAUGCGUAGAUAUCGUGAGGAACACCAGAGGCGAAGGCGGCCAACUGGUCCGGUACUGACGCUGAGGUGCGAAAGCGUGGGGGAGCAAACAGG